CCCCACCACUAAGCCAGUGGUGAACUCCACAUACGCAUCCUUUGCUGAGGAUACGGUUAACGGAGCGAAAGCGACGUUCAACCGCAAAAGAAGCAGAGGGGGCUUAGUGGUGGGGUGACUGCGUACCUUUUGUAUAAUGGGUCAGCGACUUAUAUUCUGUAGCAAGGUUAACCGAAUAGGGGAGCCGGAGGGAAACCGAGUCUUAACCGGGCGUUAAGUUGCAGGGUAUAGACCCGAAACCCGGUGAUCUAGCCAUGGGCAGGUUGAAGGUUGGGUAACACUAACUGGAGGACCGAACCGACUAAUGUUGAAAAAUUAGCGGAUGACCUGUGGCUGGGGGUGAAAGGCCAAUCAAACCGGGAGAUAGCUGGUUCUCCCCGAAAGCUAUUUAGGUAGCGCCUCGUGAAUUCAUCUCCGGGGGUAGAGCACUGUUUCGGCUAGGGGGCCAUCCCGGCUUACCAACCCGAUGCAAACUGCGAAUACCGGAGAAUGUUAUCACGGGAGACACACGGCGGGUGCUAACGUCCGUCGUGAAGAGGGAAACAACCCAGACCGCCAGCUAAGGUCCCAAAGUCAUGGUUAAGUGGGAAACGAUGUGGGAAGGCCCAGACAGCCAGGAUGUUGGCUUAGAAGCAGCCAUCAUUUAAAGAAAGCGUAAUAGCUCACUGGUCGAGUCGGCCUGCGCGGAAGAUGUAACGGGGCUAAACCAU
rnacentral:rRNA from 1 species